UGACAGAAGAAGCACGAACAGGGGGUUCCGUAACAGGUUUGUUAGCCCAAGCAUCAUCAUCGAAUUUCUGGGGUGUGGUUGACUUCGGACGAGUCGCUGGUGGACUAGGUGCUUUUUCAACGACCUCCUUGGCAGGUGCUGCUGGAGGAGCAGGUUCGGCAACCGGCGCUGGGAUGGGGGCAGGUACUGCGACUGGGGCAGCAAGUGCCUCCCCGCCGGACAUAAUUUGGUUGACUGUGGACUUGGUUUCUGGAGUAAUG